rnacentral:pre_miRNA from 1 species
AAUUGUGUGGAUGGUGUUCAGCACCAGUCACAGGUAUGUUUACCUGUGUGGAUGGUGUUCAGCACCAAGGACAGAUGUGUUCCCAU